CGAGGCGAACCGGGGAAACUGAAACAUCUCAGUACCCCGAGGAAAAGAAAUCAACCGAGAUUCCCCCAGUAGCGGCGAGCGAACAGGGAGCAGCCCAGAGUCAACAUCAAUAUUUACCGCAGGAGAAAGCUCUGGAAAGGCCGGCAAUAAAGGGUGAUAGCCCCGUAUCUGAAGCGGUAAGUGUUGUGAACUCGAAGAGUAAGGCGGGACACGUGUUAUCCUGUCUGAAUAUGGGGGGACCAUCCUCCAAGGCUAAAUACUCCUGACUGACCGAUAGUGAACCAGUACCGUGAGGGAAAGGCGAAAAGAACCCCGGCGAGGGGAGUGAAAUAGAACCUGAAACCGUGUACGUACAAGCAGUAGGAGCACCCGAAAAGGUGUGACUGCGUACCUUUUGUAUAAUGGGUCAGCGACUUAUAUUCUGUAGCAAGGUUAACCGCAUAGGGGAGCCGUAGGGAAACCGAGUCUUAACUGGGCGUUAAGUUGCAGGGUAUAGACCCGAAACCCGGUGAUCUAGCCAUGGGCAGGUUGAAG
rnacentral:rRNA from 1 species